CCUACGGGAGACAGCAGUGAGGAAUAGUGGUCAAUGGACGAGAGUCUGAACCAGCCAAGUAGCGUGAAGGAUGACAGCCCUAUGGGUUGUAAACUUCUUUUAUAAAGGAAUAAAACGCGGCACGUGUGCCUUUUUGCAUGUACUGUAUGAAUAAGGAGCGGUUAACUCCGUGCCAGUAGCGGUGGUACUACGGAGGAUCCGAGCGUUAUCCGGAUUUAUUGGGUUUAAAGGGAGCGUAGAUGGGUUGUUAAGUCAGUUGUGAAAGUUUGCGGCUCAACCUUAAAAUUGCAAUUGAUACUGGCAGGCUUGAGUACAGUUGAGGUAGGCGGAAUGCGUAGUGUAGCGGUGAAAUGCUUAGAUAUCACGAAGAACCCCGAUUGCGAAGGCAGCUUACUAAACUGUACCUGACAUUGAUGCUCGAAAGUGUGGGUAUCAAACAGGAUUAGAUACCCGGGUAGUC
rnacentral:rRNA from 1 species